GACGAACCGUGCAAACGUUAUUCGGAAUCACUGGGCUUAAAGGGCGCGUAGGCGGAUUGCCAAGUCGGUGGUGAAAUCGUUCGGCCCAACCGGACAAGUGCCGCCGAUACUGGCAGUCUCGAGGGAGGUAGGGGUCGAGGGAACUGGUGGUGGAGCGGUGAAAUGCGUAGAUAUCACUAGGAACGCCGGUGGCGAAAGCGCUCGACUGGACCUCUUCUGACGCUGAGGCGCGGAAAGCCAGGGGAGCAAACGGG
rnacentral:rRNA from 1 species